rnacentral:tRNA from 1 species
CCGACCUUAGCUCAGUUGGAAGAGCGCGAGACUGUAACGGCUAAAUAUCGGAGUAAUCAAAUGAUUACGGAUCAUCUUGAGGUCGCCUGUUCGAGCCAGGCAGGUCGGA